rnacentral:rRNA from 1 species
UAGGGAAUCUUCCACAAUGGACGAAAGUCUGAUGGAGCAACGCCGCGUGAGUGAAGAAGGGUUUCGGCUCGUAAAACUCUGUUGUUAAAGAAGAACAUAUCUGAGAGUAACUGUUCAGGUAUUGACGGUAUUUAACCAGAAAGCCACGGCUAACUACGUGCCAGCAGCCGCGGUAAUACGUAGGUGGCAAGCGUUGUCCGGAUUUAUUGGGCGUAAAGCGAGCGCAGGCGGUUUUUUAAGUCUGAUGUGAAAGCCUUCGGCUCAACCGAAGAAGUGCAUCGGAAACUGGGAAACUUGAGUGCAGAAGAGGACAGUGGAACUCCAUGUGUAGCGGUGAAAUGCGUAGAUAUAUGGAAGAACACCAGUGGCGAAGGCGGCUGUCUGGUCUGUAACUGACGCUGAGGCUCGAAAGUAUGGGUAGCAAACAGGA